GCUGGAUGUGGUGGUGUAUGCCUGUGAUCCCAGUUGCUUGGGAGGCUGAGGCAGGAGGAUUGCAAGUUCAAAGCCAGCCUCAGCAACAUAUAGAGGUCCUAGGUGACUUAGUGAGACCCUGUCUCAA
rnacentral:sRNA from 1 species